rnacentral:rRNA from 1 species
ACGGGAGGCAGCAGAGGGGAAUAUUGCACAAUGGGCGCAAGCCUGACCCAGCAACGCCGCGUGAAGGAAGAAGGUCUUCGGAUUGUAAACUUCUUUUAUGAGGGACGAAGGAAGUGACGGUACCUCAUGAAUAAGCCACGGCUAACUACGUGCCAGCAGCCGCGGUAAUACGUAGGUGGCAAGCGUUAUCCGGAUUUACUGGGUGUAAAGGGCGCGUAGGCGGGGAUGCAAGUCAGAUGUGAAAUCUAUGGGCUUAACUCAUAAACUGCAUUUGAAACUGUAUCUCUUGAGUGCUGGAGAGGUAGAUGGAAUUCCUUGUGUAGCGGUGAAAUGCGUAGAUAUAAGGAAGAACACCAGUGGCGAAGGCGAUCCACUGGACAGUAACUGACGCUGAGGCGCGAAAGCGUGGGGAGCAAACAGGAUUAGAUACCCUGGUA